AGCAUGUGUUUCACCCGUGCUAACAGGCUCCCUGGAGAGGUCAGGUGCUAUCUCUGCCCGGGCAACGCUUUCAUAGUCUUAUAGAGAACCACAGCCAAAUAAGUUUAAUCUGCUUGUCAGUGUUCGAUGUUCUCCAGUGUUCCUUGUAUUUUGUGGGUGGAACCCACAAGAGCCAGGGCAACAAUAGAUCUCCUUUAGGGACCACCACCACCCCCCAGCCCCAUAAAAGAGAGGCCAGGAAGUGGAAUCCCUUGGGGUUCAUUAAAUGCAUUUUCUCAGAGUGUUGGU